rnacentral:tRNA from 1 species
AUUAAGGUGUCCGAUUUAGGUUAUAAAUUGUAAGUUUAUUUAAGAAUUAUUUUUCUCUUAAUA